rnacentral:rRNA from 1 species
CCUGGCUCAGCGCGAACGCUGGCGGCGUGCCUAACACAUGCAAGUCGUGCGGAGGGGUGAUGAGCCCCUCAGCGGCAAACGGGUGAGUAACACGUGAGUAACCUGCCCCUGGGAAGGGGAUAACCCUCCGAAAGGGGGGCUAAUACCCUAUAUUGCCGGGGACCACUAAGGUCACCCGGUGAAAGGUGGCCUCUGCCCUUCAUGGGUAUGCUACCGCCCAGGGAGGGGCUCGCGGCCCAUCAGGUAGUUGGUGGGGUAACGGCCUACCAAGCCUAUGACGGGUAGCCGGCCUGAGAGGGUGGCCGGCCACAGUGGGACUGAGACACGGCCCACACCCCUACGGGGGGCAGCAGUGGGGAAUCGUGGGCAAUGGGCGAAAGCCUGACCCCGCGACGCCGCGUGGGGGAUGAAGCCCUUCGGGGUGUAAACCCCUGUCGGGGGGGACGAUGUGUCCUGGGGUGAAUAAUCCCAGGGCAUGACGGUACCCCCAGAGGAAGGGACGGCUAACUACGUGCCAGCAGCCGCGGUAAUACGUAGGUCCCGA